CGAGUUUGAUCCUGGCUCAGAACGAACGCUGGCGGCAUGCCUAACACAUGCAAGUCGAACGAACCCUUCGGGGUUAGUGGCGCACGGGUGCGUAACGCGUGGGGAUCUGCCCAAAGGUUCGGAAUAACUCAGAGAAAUUUGAGCUAAUACCGGAUAAUGCCUUCGGACCAAAGAUUUAUUGCCUUUGGAUGAACCCGCGUAGGAUUAGCUUGUUGGUGGGGUAAAGGCCUACCAAGGCGACGAUCCUUAGCUGGUCUGAGAGGAUGAUCAGCCACACUGGGACUGAGACACGGCCCAGACUCCUACGGGAGGCAGCAGUGGGGAAUAUUGGACAAUGGGCGAAAGCCUGAUCCAGCAAUGCCGCGUGAGUGAUGAAGGCCUUAGGGUUGUAAAGCUCUUUUGUCCGGGAAGAUAAUGACUGUACCGGAAGAAUAAGCCCCGGCAAACUUCGUG
rnacentral:rRNA from 1 species